UGGGGAAUUUUGGACAAUGGGGGAAACCCUGAUCCAGCCAUCCCGCGUGUGCGAUGAAGGCCUUCGGGUUGUAAAGCACUUUUGGCAGGAAAGAAACGUCAUGGGUUAAUACCCCGUGAAACUGACGGUACCUGCAGAAUAAGCACCGGCUACCUACGUCCCAGCAGCCGCGGUAAUACGUAGGGUGCAAGCGUUAAUCGGAAUUACUGGGCGUAAAGCGUGCGCAGGCGGUUCGGAAAGAAAGAUGUGAAAUCCCAGAGCUCAACUUUGGAACUGCAUUUUUAACUACCAGGCUAGAGUGUGUCAGAGGGAGGUGGAAUUCCGCGUGUAGCAGUGAAAUGCGUAGAUAUGCGGAGGAAAACCGAUGGCGAAGGCAGCCUCCUGGGAUAACACUGACGCUCAUGCACGAAAGCGUGGGGAGCAAACAGG
rnacentral:rRNA from 1 species